rnacentral:misc_RNA from 1 species
GAUGAAGAACGCAGCGAAAUGCGAUACUUGGUGUGAAUUGCAGAAUCCCGUGAACCAUCGAGUCUUUGAACGCAAGUUGCGCCUGAAGCCAUUAGGCUGAAGGCACGUCUGCCUGGGCGUCACACGUCGUUGCCCCCCCAUCUACUCCUUCGGGAUUGCGGGGGGCGGAUGAUGGCCUCCCGUGCGCCUCGUCGCGCGGUUGGCAUAAAUGCCAAGUCCUCGGCGACGCACGCCACGACAAUCGGUGGUUGCGAAACCUCGGUUGCCCGUCGUGUGCGGUCGUCGCGCAUCGAGGGCUCGAAAAAAUUGCCGGGCUCCGGCUCGGCUUUCAACGCGACCCCAGGUCAGGCGGGGUUACCCGCUGAAUUUAAGCAUAUCAAUAAGCGGAGGA